CACCGCGGUUAUACGAAAGACCCUAGUUGACAGCCACGGCGUAAAGAGUGGUUAAGGAACAUACAAAAUAAAGCCAAAAGCCUUCUAAGUUGUUAUACACACCUCGAAGACACGAAGCCCCUGCACGAAAGUAGCUUUAAACAUGAAAGCCCCUGACCCCACGAAAGCUAAGAAA
rnacentral:rRNA from 1 species